rnacentral:rRNA from 1 species
UACGUAGGGCGCAAGCGUUAUCCGGAAUUAUUGGGCGUAAAGGGCUCGUAGGCGGUUCGUCACGUCGGGAGUGAAAACUCGGGGCUUAACCCCGAGCCUGCUUCCGAUACGGGCAGACUAGAGUGCGGUAGGGGAGAUUGGAAUUCCUGGUGUAGCGGUGGAAUGCGCAGAUAUCAGGAGGAACACCGAUGGCGAAGGCAGAUCUCUGGGCCGUAACUGACGCUGAGGAGCGAAAGCAUGGGGAGCGAACAGG